UACGGAGGAUCCGAGCGUUAUCCGGAUUUAUUGGGUUUAAAGGGUGCGUAGGCGGUAUUGUAAGUCAGUGGUGAAAGCCCUUCGCUUAACGAAGGAACUGCCAUUGAUACUGCAAAUCUUGAGUACAUUUGAUGAGGGCGGAAUGUGUCAUGUAGCGGUGAAAUGCUUAGAUAUGACACAGAACACCGAUUGCGAAGGCAGCUCUCAAAACUGUAACUGACGCUGAGGCACGAAAGCGUGGGUAUCAAACAGG
rnacentral:rRNA from 1 species